CUGAUUAGGACGCAUGGGUCGACGUUCGUGCAACGAGCCCUUUCCCCCGUCACAGGAUAUGUGAGUUGGGGAUGCGCCAUUAUCAG
rnacentral:ncRNA from 1 species